rnacentral:rRNA from 3 species
UGGGGAAUUUUGCGCAAUGGGCGAAAGCCUGACGCAGCAACGCCGCGUGGGUGAUGAAGGUCUUCGGAUCGUAAAACCCUGUCGUCGGGGACGAAGGUGGAGGGGUUAAUAGCCUCUUUGCUUGACGGUACCCGGAGAGGAAGCCCCGGCUAACUCUGUGCCAGCAGCCGCGGUAAUACAGAGGGGGCAAGCGUUAUUCGGAAUUAUUGGGCGUAAAGGGCGCGUAGGCGGCUUUUUAAGUGAGAUGUGUAAUCCCUGAGCUCAACUUGGGAACUGCAUCUCAUACUGGGAGGCUAGAGUACUGGAGAGGGUGGUAGAAUUCCACGUGUAGCGGUGAAAUGCGUAGAGAUGUGGAGGAAUACCAGUGGCGAAGGCGGCCACCUGGACAGUAACUGACGCUGAGGCGCGAAAGUGUGGGUAGCAAACAGG